rnacentral:rRNA from 1 species
CCUACGGGUGACAGCAGUGGGGAAUAUUGGGCAAUGGGCGCAAGCCUGACCCAGCAACGCCGCGUGAAGGAAGAAGGCUUUCGGGUUGUAAACUUCUUUUGUCAGGGACGAAGCAAGUGACGGUACCUGACGAAUAAGCAACGGCUAACUAAGUGCCAGCAGCCGCGGUAAUACGUAGGUGGCAGGCGUUAUCCGGAUGUACUGGGUGUAAGGGGCGUGUAGGCGGGACUUCACGUCAGAUGUGAAAACCACGGGCUCAACCUGUGGCCUGCAUUUGAAACUGUAGUUCUUGAGUACUGGAGAGGCAGACGGAAUUCCUAGUGUAGCGGUGAAAUGCGUAGAUAUUAGGAGGAACACCAGUGGCGAAGGCGGUCUGCUGGACCGCAACUGACGCUGAGGCGCGAAAGCGUGGGGAGCAAACAGGAUUAGAUACCCUAGUAGUC